CCUACGGGCGGCAGCAGUAGGGAAUUUUCCACAAUGGGCGAAAGCCUGAUGGAGCAACGCCGCGUGGGUGAAGAAGGUCUUCGGAUCGUAAAACCCUGUUGUUAGAGAAGAAAGUGGGUGAGAGUAACUGUUCACGUUUCGACGGUAUCUAACCAGACAGCCACGGCUAACUACGUGCCAGCAGCCGCGGUAAUACGUAGGUGGAAAGCGUUAUCCGGAUUUUUUGGGCGUAAAGGGAACGCAGGCGGUCUUUUAAGUCUGAUGUGAAAGCCUUCGGCUUAACCGGAGUAGUGCAUUGGAAACUGGGAGACUUGAGUGCAGAAGAGGAGAGUGGAACUCCAUGUGUAGCGGUGAAAUGCGUAGAUAUAUGGAAGAACACCAGUGGCGAAAGCGGCUCUCUGGUCUGUAACUGACGCUGAGGUUCGAAAGCGUGGGUAGCAAACAGGAUUAGAUACCCUUGUAGUC
rnacentral:rRNA from 1 species